GCGGAGCAUGCGGAGUAAUUCGAUGCAACGCGAAGAACCUUACCUGGGUUUGACAUACACCCUGCCGCUCCAGAGAUGGGGCUUCUUUUGGGGGUGUACAGGUGGUGCAUGGCUGUCGUCAGCUCGUGUCGUGAGAUGUUGGGUUAAGUCCCGCAACGAGCGCAACCCUCGUUCUAUGUUGCCAGCAUGCCCUUCGGGGUGAUGGGGACUCAUAGGAGACUGCCGGGGUCAACUCGGAGGAAGGUGGGGAUGACGUCAAGUCAUCAUGCCCCUUAUGUCCAGGGCUUCACGCAUGCUACAAUGGCCGGUACAAAGGGCUGCGAUCCCGUAAGGGGGAGCGAAUCCCAAAAAGCCGGUCUCAGUUCGGAUUGGGGUCUGCAACUCGACCCCAUGAAGUCGGAGUCGCUAGUAAUCGCAGAUCAGCAACGCUGCGGUGAAUACGUUCCCGGGCCUUGUACACACCGCCCGUCACGUCACGAAAGUCGGCAACACCCGAAGCCGGUGGCCCAACCCUUGUGGAGGGAGCCCGUCGA
rnacentral:rRNA from 1 species